GACGAACGCUAGCGGCAGGCCUAACACAUGCAAGUCGAGGGGUAACAGGUUCUUCGGAACGCUGACGACCGGCGCACGGGUGCGUAACGCGUAUACAACUUACCUUCGAGAGAGGAAUAGCCCAGAGAAAUUUGGAUUAAUGCCUCAUGGUCUUAUAAGGCUUCAUGGUCUAAUAAGUAAAAGCUCCGGCGCUCGAAGAUGGGUAUGCGUAUGAUUAGCUAGUUGGUAAGGUAACGGCUUACCAAGGCUACGAUCAUUAGCUGGUCUGAGAGGAUGAUCAGCCACACGGGAACUGAGACACGGUCCCGACUCCUACGGGAGGCAGCAGUGAGGAAUAUUGGUCAAUGGGGGCAACCCUGAACCAGCCAUGCCGCGUGCAGGAUGACGGCCCUCUGGGUUGUAAACUGCUUUUAUGUGGGACUAAUAAAAGACUAUACGUCUUGAUGCAUGUACCACAUGAAUAAGCACCGGCUAACUACG
rnacentral:rRNA from 1 species